rnacentral:rRNA from 1 species
GCAAGUCGAGGGGUAACGAUGGAAACUUCGGUUUUAAGGCGACGACCGGCGCACGGGUGAGUAACGCGUAUGCAACCUACCUAAAACAGGGGGAUAGCUCAGCGAAACAUUGAUUAAUACCCCAUAAUAUCUAAAGUAAGCAUUUACUUAAGAUUAAAACUCCGGUGGUUUUAGAAGGGCAUGCGUGACAUUAGGUAGUUGGUGAGGUAACUGCUCACCAAGGCAACGAUGUCUAGGGGGUCUGAGAGGAUGAUC